CUUUGCGAUCACGCCGCGUAUACACCUUCCAUGGGCGAGCGGAUCUCUGUGUCUCUUUGAGGAAAUCUCUCGGUUCAAUGGGUGCAUAUUCAGAAGCAUUUUCAGUGUAUACUAUGCUGAAAUAUAGUAAGAGAACGAUGAAUAAGGCCAUUCAUGGAAAAAUUUUACACAUUUUACUUUCAGGUGGACUUCUUAAAGAUGCAUAUCUAGUUGUCAAGGAUAAUGCAGAGUUAAUCCCUAAGCCAGCCAUUAAGAAGUUUGCUAUCUCCUUUAUGAGGAACGGCAACAUAAACUUAGUAAAUGAUGUGAUCAAGUCUAUUCACAACUCAAACUACAAGAUUG